rnacentral:rRNA from 1 species
UACGUAGGGUGCAAGCGUUGUCCGGAAUUAUUGGGCGUAAAGAGCUCGUAGGCGGCUUGUCGCGUCGGCUGUGAAAACCUGGGGCUCAACCCCGGGCCUGCAGCCGAUACGGGCAAGCUAGAAUUCGGUAGGGGAGACUGGAAUUCCUGGUGUAGCGGUGAAAUGCGCAGAUAUCAGGAAGAACACCCGUGGCGAAAGCGGCUCUCUGGAACGGUACUGACGCUGAGACGCGAAAGCGUGGGGAGCGAACAGG